UACGUAGGUUGCGAGCGUUAAUCGGAAUUACUGGGCGUAAAGCGUGCGCAGGCGGUGAUGUAAGACAGAUGUGAAAUCCCCGGGCUCAACCUGGGAACUGCAUUUGUGACUGCAUCGCUGGAGUGCGGCAGAGGGGGAUGGAAUUCCGCGUGUAGCAGUGAAAUGCGUAGAUAUGCGGAGGAACACCGAUGGCGAAGGCAAUCCCCUGGGCCUGCACUGACGCUCAUGCACGAAAGCGUGGGGAGCAAACAGG
rnacentral:rRNA from 1 species